UACAGCAAAUUUCAUGUCACGUUGUUAA
rnacentral:sRNA from 1 species